UUCAGACAGGAGAGAGCACACCAAACGCACAGACAAAACUAUCCAAAAUAAUCAAAGUAUGGAUCCGUGCUAUCCGGGAUCCUUAAUUUGAAAAUAGUUAAGGUAAGGGUUUAGGGUAGGGACGUCUCAAGGAUCUCAGAUAGCACUGACCAUGAAAGUAUGUGUCAAGGAAAACAUUACACAUUCGUCUUUUGCUUUUAACCCCCCACAUUCAUGCCUGAGGGGUUGGAAGCCAGGGUCAGCCACAGUGCAGUAACCAUGGAGCAGAUUUGGGGGUGAAAUGCUUUGCUCAAGGGCACAUUUGAACGAGCAACCGUCCGGUUUCUGGCGUGCCUCUCUAACCUCAAGGCUACCUGCCGCCCAAGUGUCAGUCAUCCGUCUCUUGCCAGUCCAUGGUGAAGGAGCUGCCGGUGGUGCUGUUGUGACUGUUGUCAUCACAGCAGUCCUCUGCAUCAGAGAAGGAGGACAUGUAGUGGAGGCUGGUGACUCUGUGGUAGCCCCCCUGGAGCACCUUGGGGAGGGCAGUCUGUUCCAUGGCCCUGCGGCUGGUUCUCCUCACCGACACGCUCCACAUGUCAAUCAACUGGGAACACAUGGCACAGCCCAUGGUUGCUUUAUGGAGAGGGACAAACACAGUGGACCUGACACACAAACGGUGGACUUGACACACAGCGGAGGUUAGAUGCUGAUAUACACACACGUUAUGUCACUCAUUCACACAGACAGACACAGGUAACCAUUAGAUACCUGAUGUCACUUAUUGACAGACAGACAGACAUGAGAGUCACUGACACGCACACUUCUUGCACAGUGGCAUAAUCUGACUCAGGCCUCCAGUGAGAGCGUGGACUCAGGCCUCCAGUGAGAGCGUGGACUCAGGCCUCCAGUGAGAGCGUGGACUCAGGCCUCCAGUGAGAGCGUGGACUCAGGCCUCCAGUGAGAGCGCGAGCGUGUUCCCUCAGAAUGUGUUUAUGCCAGCACUCCUAUCUGAACUCUUUGACGAGAGUGAAAGAUGUGUAGCUACAAUAAGAGAACAAACCGAGGGCAUAAAAGAAGAGAAAGUUGGUUGUAUGUCGACUGCAGCGGACAGCUGCCUCACAUCCAGCUCUGAGGUCACCGCUAGUUGAGUCAAAGGGUUAUGGAUGAGCUCCCAGAACUUUCUCUUCUCUCUCUUUUAGUACAGAUCAGAUGAGGACAGGCAGCCACACAAUGUCAAUAUUUACAUCAGCUCCAUCCGUUCCAAGAUGGACUGUGAUGAGAAGCCGAGCUCAGCCCCUAGACAGAGGACAAUAUAUAGGGUAGCUUAUGCUUCAGUGAUUCUUAAUUCUGCACUAGAGAUAUCAGAUAUAGUCUGAUCUAGAAAGUCCUUCUCUAGUGCCAGUAAGGAGGGGAAGUGUUGGACAAUGCUGCUACUCAUUGUUUAUUGUCUUUGCAUAGUCACUUCACCCCUACCUACAUGUACAAAUUACCUCAACUAACCUGUACCCCUGCAUACUGACUCGGUGCCGGUACCCGCUGUAUAGAGCAUUGCUAUUGUUAUUUUGGGUAUUUUCUUAACUCUUCUUGAACUGCAGUGUUGAUUAAGGGCUUGUAAGUAAGCAUUUCACAGUAAGGUCUACACUUGUUGUAUUCAGUGCAUGUGACAAAUAAAGUUUGAUUUGAUUGGA